rnacentral:misc_RNA from 1 species
AACGCACAUUGCGCCUCUCUUUACCGGGAGGCAUGCCUGUCUGAGCGUCAUUUAAACCAAUGAACAAUACUUUGUGUUCGUAUUGGGUUUCACCUUUGGGCGUUACCUUAAAGUAAUUGGUCUAGAUUAGCGGACGAGAUCCUUUAGGACUAACCGCAAAUCGAUUAAUCCAAAUAAUUUCUGAUUUGACCUCAGAUCAGGUAGGGACACCGCCUGAACUUAA